AAUUUGUGAAUCUCUUACACUGGGAAAUGGCUUGGAGAGCGGGAAGAAGGCAAUUUAGGCACAGAUAUUCCAUAAUUGCAUGCAUCUAAUUACCACAAUUGCACGUAAAGCCAUAGCAAAUUCAAGUGUAAGUCAGAGUUACACCAAGGAUGACUUUGCCCCAAGAAUUCAAAUAUCAUCCUUUGCUGAAAAAGAACUCUGAACUCAGGACUUGGCUGGUUGUUUGCUAUAUUCACUGCUGGAAGGAAGUAGCUCAGAAAUGAAGAAGCAGAGUAAAGACAUUUGAUCGUCUGAUAGGAUAUCUUGGGUGAAAUUCUGGUUCCACUGAAGUCAACGUCAAAGCUCCCAAUGACUUAAAUGGAGCAAAUGGAGAGAACCUUCAGUCCAUGGGAAGGGUUGGAAGGACUGACACCUGCCAAGCCUGAGGCUGGAGUUGGGGUGACCUCUG